rnacentral:rRNA from 1 species
GAUGAACGCUGGCGGCGUGCCUAAUACAUGCAAGUCGAGCGAACAGACGAGGAUCUUGCUCCUCUGACGUUAGCGGCGGACGGGUGAGUAACACGUGGAUAACCUACCUAUAAGACUUGGAUAACUUCGGGAAACCGUAGCUAAUACCGGAUAAUAUAUUUAACCGCAUGGUUCAAUAGUGAAAGACGGUUUUGCUGUCACUUAUAGAUGGAUCCGCGCCGCAUUAGCUAGUUGGUAAGGUAACGGCUUACCAAGGCAACGAUGCGUAGCCGACCUGAGAGGGUGAUCGGCCACACUGGAACUGAGACACGGUCCAGAAGCCUACGGGAGGCAGCAGUAGGGAAUCUGCCGCAAUGGGCGAAAGACUGACGGAGCAACGCCGCGUGAGUGAUGAAGGUCUUCGGAUCGUAAAACUCUGUUAUUAGGGAAGAACAAAUGUGUAAGUAACUAUGCACGUCUUGACGGUACCUAAUCAGAAAGCCACGGCUAACUACGUG